rnacentral:rRNA from 1 species
UACGUAGGGUGCAAGCGUUGUCCGGAUUUAUUGGGCGUAAAGAGCUCGUAGGCUGUCUGUCGCGUCGGAUGUGAAAACCCAGGGCUCAACCCUGGGCCUGCAUUCGAUACGGGCAGACUAGAGUGUGGCAGGGGAGACUGGAAUUCCUGGUGUAGCGGUGAAAUGCGCAGAUAUCAGGAGGAACACCGGUGGCGAAGGCGGGUCUCUGGGCCAAUACUGACGCUGAGGAGCGAAAGCGUGGGGAGCGAACAGG